AUUAUUAAGUUGAUAAGCGUGAGAGUGCUUUGAACACUCUUUCGUGGCCUUCCACCAUGGUAGCUCCAAUCGUUUAUGACUUGUACACCACCUUCACCCUAUCAUGGGGGAGUGCAAAGUGCAUGCUUAUACUCAGGAGGAGUCUAUAUACAUACUUGAUGAGGUGAGUGUAGGCAACGAGGAUGGCCGAUAUCAUAUCAUUGUGAGGCUAUUCUUGAACCCCUUCAUGAACUAAGCAUGGUGGGAAUGACUUAAC
rnacentral:lncRNA from 1 species